rnacentral:rRNA from 1 species
UACGUAGGUGGCAAGCGUUGUCCGGAAUUACUGGGCGUAAAGGGCGCGUAGGCGGGAUGGCAAGUCGGUCGUGAAAUCCCUCGGCUCAACUGAGGAUCGUCGAUCGAUACUGCCGUUCUUGAGGAUUGCAGAGGAGACUGGAAUUCCCGGUGUAGCGGUGAAAUGUGUAGAGAUCGGGAGGAACACCGGUGGCGAAGGCGGGUCUCUGGGCAAUUCCUGACGCUGAGGCGCGAAAGCGUGGGGAGCAAACGGG